UAUUGUUUCAUGAUCAUCUAUAUAAUAAUAGGUAUCCUCUAGAUAGAUUGCACUGUGGAAACUGUUGUGUUUAUCUCAGAUUAAAUAAUUCUAAUCUGUAUCCUAUUUCCUCUUACUAGAGAGGACUUGUGCUUAUCAUUUAAAUAUAUUACAUGCUUGCUCAAAUGCCAUUUAAAUCACGUUAUUCUCUUCCUUAAGACCUUUUAGGGGUUCUCAUAACUUACAGGAUGCAGGAUGAGGUCUGAAUUUCUUAGCAUCGCUUCAAGGCUCUUUAUCUUACUUCUUUAUGAAUAUUGCUUCUAUUUUCUCCUUUUUAGGGUACUCCUCCUUCCACUUUUUCCAUUUUCCACCCUUGUAAGCCUUCAUACUUGACCUAUUUAUCACUUGUUUGUAGCGGUAUACAGCAAAUAUUUGUCACUUUCCAUGAACUGCCUUGAAUUCCGUUGUUUUUUAAAAUGUACGUGUAGCAUGCCUGGAGAGAAGGCAUCAUGUCAAGAAUUUUUUUGUAAUCUUCACAGUACCUUGCACACUGUAGGUGUGUGGCAAGCAAACACUGGUGAUGGGAAGGAUCAGUAUAGUGUUUAGUCAUUCUGUACAAUUUAUGGGAAUGUUGAUAGUAGUAGGGCAACAUAAGCCAACCUUUCUUUUCAUUCUUCCUCUAUUAUUUGAGUGUUAUGCAAUAGUUAUAUUACCAUGCACACAGUUAUUUGGAAAACAAUGGCUUUCUCCUCAAUUAUUAUAGAACUUUAAUGCAUAUAUUUAAAAUAACAAGUGUCUUUGGUGUGGAACAUAAAUUGGUGACAUUCAUCACUAGGUGGCACACCACAAGCUCCUGUGGGGCAGUUACACAAGCUGGCCUAUUAUUUGAAGAAGGACUGCAAAGAUUCAGAGCAAUUUGCUUUGGGAAAAAUGACAUCAGAAGUGAUAUUCAAUUACUCCUUUUAGAUGGAUUUCCAGAGAGACUGACUUUGUUCAUGAGCAACGACACAUCUUCUACACAGAUGGAUGGGAAGAAAGAAGAGAGAGGUGUAGACAAAGAUACAUUUCUAAGUGUGUUUGCAAGGGGGCCAGGAGGCAGACAGCAUGUGACCUGGGGUCCUCUGUGUUCUCUGUACAGCAGGAGAUGAGAACAUGCUGAGUGUUGGAGAAGUGGUGGUCAUCCCACUUGCUGUCCUGUGAUCCCCCACCCCACCUCUGGGACGUUGCCUCUUUUUGCUCUUGUAUCUUCAAUGCCUUUCUUCCUACCAGUUCUUCCAUUCAGCUGGUUAACAACCCCAAGAUUCUUUUAUUCCUCCCUCCAAAAGUUCCCCUGACUCUCAUCCUUCAUUCCCUCUUUCUUGAAACUCUCUCCUACAUGGUUCCUGGGACACCGUAUUCUCUUGGUCUACCUUAUUAUCCUAUUCGAUCUCUAUUUUAUUUUUGAGUUCUUCUCAGACGCUCUUUCCCAGAUUUCUCUACCCUGUUUCUCCUCACUGACUGCUGCAGUCAGCCUCCUUGAAUGUAUGUCUCUCAAUUCUAGCUGCUGUCCUAAGCAAGGCUUGAGCAGAACACCAGGUAUUGAGUAUAAUUAAAAUAUGCUUAUCCUCUCAGAAAUCUAUGUUCAGAAGCACCCUUAAUCCUUUUGCUGCUUGCAUUACACUCAACCUUACAAAAUAAAGUGAUAGAUUUUUAUCCCACGAAAAAUAUAUGCCAUUCAAAAUAAAUCUUAUUACACUGUAUAAUAUACCAAAGUACAACCAGGACCAGAAAGAUGGAAAUAUUUAUCACAUUAUCUUUUACUGCACUUGGCACAUGGGAUUAGACUACUUUACACCGCGAGGAAGCUAUAAAAACAAACACCAGGUCGUCAGCUCCAACUUUUGUAAGGAAAAUUUUUUCCCUGAGAAAUUUAAUACAGUAUGAAACCUGAAAAAAAUGUAAAAACAAUGAGAGAUGGUUUGCAUGGUAAAAUGCAGUGGCAGCUAUCAGAUUUGACUAUAUGAAGUUUACUCACAGGACAGAUAAAGUUGCCUUUUCUUGGGUAAGUGAAUCCACUUCAAACUGAUCAGAAUCCUGGGAUGGAAAAUAAAAAGAAAUGUGAAGGUUCUUCAGGUGCAUGUCAGAGAAAACACUGAGAACCUACCAGAUUUUUAAAUUUAGAAAGUAGAAGGUGUUGAAGUCUCAGACAAUCUGUUUACUUGAUGAUGCUUGAGCUGGGAAAGUCAUGAUUCAUUUCCUGGCCUCACACAGUGAUGAUGACAUCAUCCUCCUGCUUUCAUUUUCACUCUUCAGUUAAUAUAAUAGGACUUUAAUCACUUUGACUAAAAAAAAAAUAACAACUCUCCUUUAAUUCCUCUAAUUUUCAUGAUUACUCAAAAGCUCUGCAGAAAAUCUAUUUUUUAAAUAUCCUAUAGAUGAAAAACCCUGGUAUAAAGUCAUAGGGACUUUAUUAAUAUUAGUAAGAUGACCUGAUUCAAUGCACUAAUAUUUGAGAAAGUUUCCUGAAGAAAUCAGGAAGAAAGUGGUGCUAUUGAAAGGUAAAAUUAACCCCAGUAAUUUCUCUUUACGUUUAAUUAUUUGUAUUAAGAGACCACCACACCGAGAUUCCUCUAAGUGAAGCACACAGCUAUGCUACAGAGUCAUCAGAGAAGUGUGAGUCCCUGUGUUGGCUCUACCUCUGGACACUCUAAUUCAACAGAUCUGCGGUAGGACCUAGAACUCUAUAAUUUAAAAAACGUUCCACAGGGGAUUCUGAUGGGCAGCCCUGCCUGGGAACCACUGGGCUUUGUUGGAUAUUUCCUGCACUCUGGGCCAACACUGGAGACUGGCAAGUAACAAAAAUGUGAGGAAGAGGCAGAGAGCCCAAUUUUUAGGUCAGUGCAUUUGGAAGCUUUUACCGUGGAAUGUAAAGGCAUGUAUAAAAUAUCAUGAACACGAAUGCAAUAAAUGAAUAAAUUCAUCUCCUGCAUUGGUCCCUAAACUUUUUCAUUCCACAAUGUGAGUGUCUUUUUCUAAAUUGAUGGUAGUCCAAUUUGGUGUGAAAAAGUCCACCACUGCCUGACAGAUGAAACGGGGCCCGGACCAUCGAGCUAUUAAUGAGGCACGUCAUUGCACCUGUCAUUUAGGGUCCAUCACUGCAUGCAGAUAAACACACUCCAGCUGUGUAAGUACAAAGAUAAUUUCUCGAAAACCUAUCGGAAUCCUUGGAAAGCUACAGAAUUGGACUCAGCAAACCGGCAGGAAUGAAGGAGGUCAGGCAGCCAAAGCCAUGCCAAAGAACUGCUUGUGGGGUCUCCACUGUCCCUGCUUCUCUGUGGCACCAGCACUCAGAUUGUAAAUCACCAAAUACAGGUCAAGUACCUAUAUCCAUGCCAAAACAGAGGGUGGGAAAUAAAGUAUCUGGCUUUUUCAGCCUCCAUAAGUGGGAGGCAGUUCUGACUGCCACCAAAACUCAUAUGGCAGAAAAUUCCUGGAACAGAAAGGAGGUUCACAUAUAGGGCAGAAAAAAAACCUGUACUAUCUUAUUGUUUGAAGAAUAUGGCUUCUGGUUAGUGAGAUUUUUCUGGUUAAUUUUUAAGCUGAUACAGCAAAUGCUUCUGGACUAUUAGAGUAUUUUCUACUACAAUAAAUGUAGUAAGAUAAUUUAAUGUUCAAAACUUAGCUCUACAAUUCAUUACCAUGCAAUGUUGAGCAAUUUAUAACCUCAUUUAACUUUCUUCAUUUGUAAAUGGUAAUUUCAAUAACUCACUUAGGGUUGUAGCUCAAAUAAAUUGAUGCAUGCUAAGCAAUUUGUAUACUGAAAACACUAAGCAGUCAUUAAGCAUUGUUACUAUUCUUUUGGUACUUAGGUUCAUUAAUUUUAACUUCACAUACUGUAGCUGUUGAUAUAGAUGGCAUUGGGGGUUGUCCUGGAAAUCUAUCUCUUUCUCCUAAAAAUAGAGUAUUAAGAAUUACCAUAAGGGGCUGGCCCGUGGGGCAGUGGUUAAGUUUGUGUGAUCUGCUUUCACAGGUUCGAAUCCCAGGCGUGGACCUACACAUGGCUCAUCCAGCCAUCCUGUGGCAGCACCACGUAUACAGAGUAGAGGAAGACUGGCACAGAUGUUAGCUCAGGAACAAUCUUCCUCACCAAAAAAAGAAGAAUUACCAUGAAGGGAAAGGUUUCCCAGCCAGCGGGUUAUUGUGAAAAGCUGUUCUAAUGUUUGCAGGCCUCUCGCACUCAAGAAUGACAACAGAGUCAGGCUUUUGGAUACUGACUGACAGGAUAUAGCAAAACAAUGGAAUGGCCUUCUUUACCAUAAAACACUGGUGACAGAUCAGUAGAAAGUUAGUGAAUGUAGGAAAAGAAGGAAAAGAAUUGAGAGUUACUAGUUUAUUUGCCACCUUUUUCUUUCUUUUAUAAAAGUAGACGCAAUUUUAUUUUAAUUUCUUGAUUUUUUUUCUUGGAAAAUAAAUAAAU
rnacentral:lncRNA from 1 species